rnacentral:rRNA from 1 species
CCUACGGGUGGCAGCAGUGAGGAAUAUUGGUCAAUGGACGAGAGUCUGAACCAGCCAAGUAGCGUGAAGGAUGACUGCCCUAUGGGUUGUAAACUUCUUUUAUAUGGGAAUAAAAUGUUCCACGUGUGGGAUUUUGUAUGUACCAUAUGAAUAAGGAUCGGCUAACUCCGUGCCAGCAGCCGCGUUAAUACGGAGGAUCCGGGCGUUAUCCGGAUUUAUUGGGUUUAAAGGGAGCGUAGGUGGAUUGUUAAGUCAGUUGUGAAAGUUUGCGGCUCAACCGGAAAAUUGCAGUUGAAACUGGCAGUCUUGAGUACAGUAGAGGUGGGCGGAAUGCGUGGUGUAGCGGUGAAAUGCUUAGAUAUCACGAAGAACUCCGAUUGCGAAGGCAGUUCACUGGACUGCAACUGACACUGAGGCUCGAAAGUGUGGGUAUCAAACAGGAUUAGAUACCCGGGUAGUC